GUUCACAGUCUAUUAAUCUACACACUGUCCCUUCCUGGUGACCAGACCAUGGUCACCUGAUUGAAGAAGCAGGACUGGGGAUGAGGAUAGAUUUUUUCCAUCUUAGUAUUAAAUGCCUUUCCUUCCCAAAGUCUGAAUUCCUUUAAAUCUGGCUCAUUCUUUUGAUAAAACCCCCAUACAUGUGGGUCCAGCCAAACUUGCAUGGCUGAGCAGACUACUGAAAUAAUAUAAUUAAGUAAUUGCUACACACUCUUGGGGAUGAGGGGUGGGUUGGCAAGGCUCCUAUUCCUUCUUGUUAAACUCUCUACCAGCCUGUGGUUGGAUUGAGGCUGCCCAGAAAAGAGAUGGUAAACUCAGUGAACAUUCAGUGAAGAAGCCAUUUCAUAAUCCCCUUUGCUAAAGAUUGUGUGUCAGCGUUAGAGUCUUUGCAGAGUGAAGCACUCUGUGUGACCGUGGGAUGUACAUUCCCCACUGCAAAUUGAGGCUAAUUGAGCAAACCACUCCGACAGUUUCACCUUCCCUGUCACUGCGCUGCAGUGCACAAAGCUAUUUCAGUGAGAGUGAGAGGGAAAUUUGGCAAGGAAUCUCGGCUUGCACUAUUUAAAUCUGGCAAUGUCAUUCAAGAUGUUCUUGUUCUGUUUCUAGUGUAAUGUUUAAACCCACAAAAUGAGACUGGAAUACUUAACAUGAAGUUAGAAUUAAGACAAAUACACUUGUCAUGCUUAAGAAGUCACAUUUCAGUAAGAUAUGCUACCACUGGCUAAAAGCCACGAAUCUAUCUAUAUCCACACAAUCGACUCGCAGUUGGCCCCAACAACGGAAAAGAACAGCACAGAGGCUAAUCCA
rnacentral:lncRNA from 1 species